CAUCCUACAACCCCAUCUACACGUCCUACACGUCCUCCAACCCCAUCUACACGUCCUCCAACCCCAUCUACACGUCCUCCAACCCCAUCUACACGUCCUACAACCCCAUCUACACGUCCUACAACCCCAUCUACACGUCCUCCAACCCCAUCUACACGUCCUCCAACCCAUCUACACGUCCUACAACCCCAUCUACACGUCCUCCAACCCCAUCUACACGUCCUCCAACCCCAUCUACACGUCCUCCAACCCCAUCUACACGUCCUACAACCCAUCUACACGUCCUACAACC
ensembl:lncRNA